UAGUACAAUACCCCUAAUUGAUGUGUUACUUUCCGUAUGACUUUGCUACUACUGUGCUUGCUGAUGCUCCCAUCCCACAAUUGCAGAACAGUUAUGAAGGACGUUGGAUGCCUCAAACCGAAAACCUGGAACAUGUAAGUUUGUUGUUUACUAAAAUACAGUUGUCAUCCAUGUUUGUGAAAAAAAAAGGCAUUCUGCAUAUAGUACCACUGAGGCUGAAUUGCUAUGUUGCCUUCAUUGCUUGUUCGGGGCAUGUGUUUGUGCCAAUUUGGAAAGCCAGAGACGCAUGGUAUGUUAUGCUGCUGGACGUCAAGGCAUCGAAAAUAUAUGCGCUGGAUGUGAACCGGUCUCCGGAGAGCAUUCUGCGAAGGGAGUCCAACAUGACUAAGAUCUGUCAUGCUUUGGGGAAAAUGUUCGUCCACAGCAGGAACCUCGUUAACUUCCGCCACACAAACCCUGACCCCUCCAAUUGGGGACACUUCAUCUACCCACAGGGUCUACCAAAAGACCUGGAUAGGUUACUCACACUCA